rnacentral:SRP_RNA from 1 species
CUGUGCUAUGUGGGGAGCCAGCGGUGCCCUAUACUCGCAAUCCGCUACAGCGAGGCAGAACGCCGCCUUCGGCGUAUCGUAUGGGAGGUCAGUCCCCGUUCGCGGAACGAUGAUACCGGGGUCUUGUGCAACGUUAUACUAUGAACCGUGUCAGGGCUUGACGGCAGCAGCACUAAGUAGACCAUAAUGUGUGCCACAAGGUAGCUUCGGAGGAGUUUACCGGCGGGAAAACGCUUCGGUACGGUAUGACAACGGCGGAUGCACAG